rnacentral:rRNA from 1 species
UGUGGCCAAGUUUUUAAGGGCGCAUGGUGGAUGCCUUGGCACCAGGAACCGAUGAAGGACGUGGGAGGCCGCGAUAGGCCCCGGGGAGCUGUCAACCGAGCUGUGAUCCGGGGGUGUCCGAAUGGGGAAACCCGGCAGUCGUCAUGGGCUGUCACCCGCUGCUGAAUGUAUAGGCAGUGUGGAGGGAACGCGGGGAAGUGAAACAUCUCAGUACCCGCAGGAAGAGAAAACAACAGUGAUUCCGGGAGUAGUGGCGAGCGAAACUGGAUGAGGCUAAACCGUUUGUGUGUGAUACCCGGCAGGGGUUGCGCAGGCGGGGUUGUGGGAGUUUACGUGACUGGUCUGCCGGCUGGUCGGCGAGUGAGAAACCGUACAUGUAGGCGAAGGGCAUGCGAAAGGCCCGGCGUAGAGGGUAAGACCCCCGUAGCUGAAAUGUGUGCGGCUCGUUGUGAACCACCCAAGUAGCACGGGGCCCGAGAAAUCCCGUGUGAAUCUGGCGGGACCACCCGCUAAGCCUAAAUAUUCCCUGGUGACCGAUAGCGGAUAGUACCGUGAGGGAAUGGUGAAAAGUACCGCGGGAGCGGAGUGAAAGAGUACCUGAAACCGUGUGCCUACAAGCCGUGGGAGCGUCGCCGUUGUUUCUUCGGAGACUUCGGUCGUGACUGCGUGCCUUUUGAAGAAUGAGCCUGCGAGUUAGCGGUGUGUAGCGAGGUUAACCCGUGUGGGGUAGCCGUAGCGAAAGCGAGUCCUAGCUGGGCGUUGAGUUGCACGCUCUAGACCCGAAGCGGGUGAUCUAGCCAUGGGCAGGGUGAAGCGGCUGUAAGAGGUCGUGGAGGCCCGAACCCACCAGGGUUGAAAACCUGGGGGAUGACCUGUGGUUAGGGGUGAAAGGCCAAUCAAACUCCGUGAUAGCUGGUUCUCCCGAAAUGCAUUUAGGUGCAGCGUCGUGUGUUGCUUGCCGGAGGUAGAGCUACUGAUAGGCGAUGGGCCUUACCGGGUUACUGACCUUAGCCAAACUCCGAAUGCCGGUAAGUUGAGCGCGGCAGUGAGACUGCGGGGGAUAAGCUCCGUGGUCGAGAGGGAAACAGCCAGAGCAUCGACUAAGGCCCCUAAGCGUAUGCUAAGUGGGAAAGGAUGUGGAGUCGCAGAGACAACCAGGAGGUUGGCUUAGAAGCAGCCAUCCUUGAAAGAGUGCGUAAUAGCUCACUGGUCAAGUGAUUCCGCGCCGACAAUGUAGCGGGGCUCAAGCGUACCGCCGAAGUCGUGUCAGCAGCACAAUAGCCUUAACGGGUGUGUUGUUGGGUAGGGGAGCGUCGUGUGCCGGGUGAAGCCGCACUGUAAGGUAGUGGUGGACGGUUCGCGAGUGAGAAUGCAGGCAUGAGUAGCGAUACACACGUGGGAAACGUGUGCGCCGAUUGACUAAGGGUUCCUG